CAUCGUGAGGAAACCUGCAUGCCUGAGAGUUCUCCAUGUUCUCAAAGGCGUGUGAAGUCUGCCAAUCCGCAAUUGGCCAGCGUGGUGGACUAUGGCCAAAACCCUUCUCAUAAUAUGAGAAGAGACGCGUCCUCUGUAGUGAACCGGCAAUGAGCUGAUCAUGUUGAUGAUAUUGAAAUUGCCUACAA